rnacentral:sRNA from 1 species
GCUGGGCAUGGUGGCCCACGCCUGUGAGCUCAGUGACUUGGGAGGCUGAGGCAGGAGGAUUGCAAGUUUGAGGCCAGCCUCAGCAAGUUAGCAAGACCCAGUCUCAA